GGCGAUCAGCCAAACGACCACUGGGGGUAAACGGCAUGCAUGAUUGAGUUUGCUUUGCUUGUGAUUUGAGGACUAGCUUUGGAGCAACCUCUUUGUCUUUCCUAAGAGUCUAGAUAGGCUCUGAUCUAAGAAGUGUUGAGUUUAAGGUUAUGUAGAUGAGACCUAUGGCAUAGUGUUGAGAUUUUAUAUUCAUGUAUUUGAGGAUUAUUACUUG
rnacentral:lncRNA from 1 species